rnacentral:misc_RNA from 1 species
GAUGAAGAACGCAGCGAAAUGCGAUAAGUAAUGUGAAUUGCAGAAUUCAGUGAAUCAUCGAAUCUUUGAACGCACAUUGCGCCCCCUGGUAUUCCGGGGGGCAUGCCUGUUCGAGCGUCAUUUCACCACUCAAGCCUCGCUUGGUAUUGGGCAACGCGGUCCGCCGCGUGCCUCUAAUCGACCGGCUGGGUCUUCUGUCCCCUAAGCGUUGUGGAAACUAUUCGCUAAAGGGUGUUCGGGAGGCUACGCCGUAAAACAACCCCAUUUCUAAGGUUGACCUCGGAUCAGGUAGGGAUACCCGCUGAACUUAAGCAUAUCAAUAAGCGGAGGA